rnacentral:rRNA from 1 species
ACCGAAUAGAUACCCAGGUAGUCCACGCCCUAAACUAUGCGAACUGGAUGUUGGGUACAUUACGGUACUCAGUGUCGAAAGCUAAACGCGUUAAAGUUCGCCGCCUGGGGAGUACGGGUCGCAAGACUGAAACUCAAAGGAAUUGACGGGGGCCCGGCACAAGCGGUGGAGUAUGUGGUUUAAUUCGAUGCAACGCGAAGAACCUUACCUGGUCCUUGACAUCUGUCGAAUCCUGCAGAGAUGCGGGAGUGCCGCAAGGAACGACAAGACAGGUGCUGCAUGGCUGUCGUCAGCUCGUGCCGUAGAGAUGUUGGGUUAAAGUCCC